AUCUACAGCCAUGCUGCCCUGAACAAGCUUGAUCCAGUCUGAUCGCGGAAGCUAAGCAGGGUCAGGCCUGGUUAGUACUUGGAUGGGAGACCACCUAGGAAGACAAGGUGCUUUAGGCA
rnacentral:rRNA from 1 species